rnacentral:rRNA from 1 species
GAUGAACACUAGCGGCAGGCCUAACACAUGCAAGUCGAGGGAGAAGCCCUUUCGGGGGCAGAAACCGGCGCACGGGUGCGUAACGCGCAUGCAACCUACCUUUCACAGGGGGAUAGCCCGAAGAAAUUUGGAUUAAUACCCCAUAAUAUUAUUGGAUGGCAUCAUUUGAUAAUUAAAACUGCGGUGGUGAAAGAUGGGCAUGCGUCCUAUUAGCUAGUUGGAGUGGUAACGGCACCCCAAGGCUACGAUAGGUAGGGGUCCUGAGAGGGAGAUCCCCCACACUGGUACUGAGACAGGGACCAGACUCCUACGGGAGGCAGCAGUGAGGAAUAUUGGUCAAUGGUCGGAAGACUGAACCAGCCAUGCCGCGUGCAGGAAGAAUGCCUUAUGGGUUGUAAACUGCUUUUAUAUGGGAAGAAUAAGGCGUACGUGUACGUUGAUGACGGUACCAUAUGAAUAAGCAUCGGCUAACUCCGUG